UACGGAAGGCAGCGGUGGGGAAUAUUGCACAAUGGACGCAAGCCUGAUGCAGCCAUGCCGCGUGUAUGAAAAAGGCCUUCGGGUUGUAAAGUACUUUCAGUCGUGAGGAAGGUGUUAAGGUUAAUAACCUUAGCAAUUGACGUUAGCGACAGAAGAAGCACCGGCUAACUCCGUGCCAGCAGCCGCGGUAAUACGGAGGGUGCGAGCGUUAAUCGGAAUUACUGGGCGUAAAGGGCACGCAGGCGGUUAAUUAAGUUGGAUGUGAAAUCCCCGGGCUUAACCUGGGAAUGGCAUUCAAGACUGGUUAGCUAGAGUCUUGUAGAGGGGGUAGAAUUCCAUGUGUAGCGGUGAAAUGCGUAGAGAUGUGGAGGAAUACCGGUGGCGAAGGCGGCCCCUGGGACAAAGACUGACGCUCAUGUGCGAAAGCGUGGGGAGCAAACAGGGAUUAGAUACC
rnacentral:rRNA from 1 species